UGUCAGUUAUGAAUGAAUUUGAUUCAGCGAUAAAGCAGCUCUACAGUUGACAAUAGGGUGAUUAUUUAGUAUGAGUAGUGUCAGUGCUGUCAAAUCAAUAAUUAAUGUUAAUAUUUACAUCUUUUAAACCUCAACUAGCAAGCCAAAGGCAACUUUGGCAAGGAACCCAAAUUCAAUCUGGUUACAAGAAUGGAGGGAAAAAAUAUCCAAAGUUUCCCUAAAUCAGCAUCCAUAAAUUAAUCACGGGGUGUUAUUGCCAAUAUAUGAUUUUUAUAGAAGAGUCUUAUCUGUUUGACUUUAGCUUUUAUAUGCAAUCAAUUCAAAGUGCUGUAAAAGUGGUUCGUCCUGUUUUCCUGCAGGAGCAAAGUCCCAGAUCGUGAGUCAGACAGGAAAUUGUUUAUAUGCACUGAUAUUCGCUCUGAGCUCAGUCGUCCUCUAGCCGUCUCAUGCCUGUCUGUUGAUUUGUGAGAGCCAAGUCACAGUGCGAUGACUGUGUGGUGUUAGGUUUCUUUCCAGUCCCUGGAGUAUGCGAAAAAUGAAGCGCACAUGCAGCACAAGUCCAGAAGAACAUCCAAACAGCCUCAGAGUUGUGUAAACAUGGAACACAGAAAAGAUGGAAGAAGUAUCUGAAUGAAGUCUGAAUGUGGAUUCAAAUAAACAUCUGUGGAGUGGUCCAGACUCAGUGUCUUUGGCUCUCUAUGAUGGUUUUUACCACCGAAGUGUUGCAAAAGGCUGCGGCCAGAGCUGUGGCCUUCACAUGGUGACUGUAUCUUAUUGUUCAAGAGUUGAGAGAAAGAGUACGUCUACUCUUUGAGUUAAAUUUGUGUUUUUUUGUGUGUGUGUGAAUAAUCUGUUGACAGAUGCCUGGGAGUACUUGCCGACAAAACGUCUUCUGAAAUUCAGAAUGUGUCCAUUACUCCUGACUGUGGUUGGCUUUCUAAAUGUGGUGCAGCAAACUUUAAACCAGCUUCAACAUUCAGCUUUUUCUUCAGCGACGGAGUCUUGCGUGAAAUCUUGUGAGAAGCACCUGGUCGUGGCCGAUUUAUGGUGAAAUGAUGUUCUUUCCACUUCCGGAUUAUGGCUCCAGCAGUGCUCUCUGAAACAUUCAGAAGUAUAGAAAUCCUUCUGUUACCAGUGCCCUUAGUAUGUUUUUACAACAAUAAGGUCUUGAGAGAGCUGUUUGCUUUUACCCAUCAUGAAAUGUUUCUUGUGUGACACCGUCAUGAGACACUUUUUUUAUAGGCCAUCAGGUGGGACUUAAACUAUACCUUUCAUGUAAACAGCACCUUUAGAAAUAUAAUUACUGAGAAAAUUGUGAUGUGUUCAAUACUUAUUUUA